AAAUGCUUCCCUUAUUUUCAGUACGACUGCAACUGUUUUUAGUGCUUGUAUUCUAGUGUUAAUAUAGAAAUAAAUCUUAUCGUGUGAAUUCUGUCCGCCUGACACUUUCGAGUAAGUGAAAUACCUCUCUGCACAGCACCCCAAAAUGGCAAACAUGGUUGGUGUCGGGAUCUGGAAGAUUGCUCUUCUGCUUCUCUCUCUUUCCCUCCUGUCUGACAGAGGGGACAGUGCUUUAUCUGAAGAUAAUCUUCAGAAAAUUAUGACACAAAUGUUCAACAGGUUUGACCAACAGGCAUUAAUACAACAAAUGAAAGUGAUAAACAAUAGAAUACCAACUAGGAAAAGAGCUACAGGCAUACAGUACAGUAUUACUCUUCCACUCUCAGAAGACGACUGUAAGAAAGGACAGCUGGGAAACAACAUCCCUGCAGACUUCGCAGACAUCAGGAACACUCUAGCUGAAGAAAAGGUGUACAACAAAGACAAUGUUGUUGCAGCGCUUCCUCGCCAUAUAUAUGACCAAAAUAAGAAAACUACUGACCAUUCUGAAUACAGAGUCCUCAUGGCACUAGAACAACAAAACAUUAGCCCUGGAUGUCUAAUUAUCUACACUUAUUUCAGUCCUUGUUUCGCAAAGUGCCUGUCCAAUAACCAUCAUGCCAAUAUCAUUAAUCUACUCAAUAAUUUAAAAAACAAAAACAAAAACACAGACAUUGCAUUAGUUUUUAGUGCACUAUUUCAUUAUGACCGGGACAGCAGUACAAAAGAUCAAAUUUACGAGAACCUGAAAGCAAUCACCGCAGUCCCUGUUUAUUGCUGUUAUGAAAAAGGAGAACGUGUUAUCUGUGCAAUGUUUGAUAGAAAUAAAGAUAAGAACCAGCACUGCCUUUCAGAAAAAAUGUAAAGCCUCAUAGGGGAGGCGAUCUUGAAAAAAGGCUUCUCCAACAUGAAACCUUCUGGAUCUAUUUCCUCAAUACUAUGUCCCCAACGGUCUAAAUUAGUAAUUUGAUAUAAAACCUUUUUUGUGAUUUUCUUUUUUUGCCCUCUUUUCCAGUACCCUAGUAUGCUAGUGGCUAAAAAACUAUUAUUGACUAUUAUUCUUAUAUGAUAUGUAAAAAAAUGUUUACUUGUUGCUUGUUGGUAUGUCGUUUGCUACUUUUUCUAUUAUGUAUCUCUAUAUAUUUUUCUAUUGUGGUAUUAUUAAAUGUUAGUAUGUGUUUGCACUAUUUUUUUUACUAUAUUAUCGAGUGGCCAAUGUGGUAUAGCCUACUUAAUUGGCUGACAUUGAUGUCAGUAUGAUAUCAUUGGCUUACUGUCUAUAUAUACCUUUUUAUCUGUCGUGUCAGUCAUUUGCCUGAUGAAGACCCUGUUGGGUUGACAUGUUGCUUUGCUUUUUAGUCAAUAAAGUAUUGGGAGCUGUAA